rnacentral:rRNA from 1 species
CCUACGGGUGUCAGCAGUGAGGAAUAUUGGUCAAUGGGCGGGAGCCUGAACCAGCCAAGUCGCGUGAGGGCAGACGGUCCUAUGGAUUGUAAACCUCUUUAGGCGGGGAGCAAUGCCGGGCACGCGUGCCCGGAGGGAGAGUACCCGCAGAAUAAGCAUCGGCUAACUCCGUGCCAGCAGCCGCGGUAAUACGGGGGAUGCAAGCGUUAUCCGGAUUUAUUGGGUUUAAAGGGUGCGUAGGCUGUGAGGUAGGUCAGCGGGGAAAUGCUCCCGCUCAACGGGGUGAAGUGCCAUUGAUACUGCUUUGCUGGAAUGCGGAUGCGGUAGGAGGAAUGUGUGGUGUAGCGGUGAAAUGCAUAGAGAUCACACAGAACACCGAUUGCGAAGGCAGCUUACGAAUCCGCGAUUGACGCUGAUGCACGAAAGCGUGGGUAUCAAACAGGAUUAGAUACCCGUGUAGUC